rnacentral:rRNA from 1 species
CCUACGGGAGGCAGCAGUAGGGAAUCUUCCACAAUGGACGAAAGUCUGAUGCAGCAACGCCGCGUGAGUGAUGAAGGUUUUCGGCUCGUAAAGCUCUUUUGGUAGUGAAGAAAGUUACAGUUAGUAACUAGCCUUUAUUUGACGGUAAUUACUUAGAAAGUCACGGCUAACUACGUGCCAGCAGCCUCGGUAAUACGUCGGUGGCAAGCGUUGUCCGGAUUUAUUGGGCGUAAAGAGAGUGCAGGCGGGUCAAUAAGUCUGAUGUGAAAGCCUUCGGCUCAACCGGAGAAUUGCAUCAGAAACUGUUGAACUUGAGUGUAGAAGAGGAGAGUGGAACUCCAUGUGUAGCGGUGGAAUGCGUAGAUAUAUGGAAGAACACCAGUGGCGAAGGCGGCUCUCUGGUCUGUAACUGACGCUGAGGCUCGAAAGCAUGGGUAGCGAACAGGAUUAGAUACCCUUGUAGUC